GAUGAACGCUGGCGGCGUGCCUAAUACAUGCAAGUCGAGCGAACAGACGAGGAGCUUGCUCCUCUGACGUUAGCGGCGGACGGGUGAGUAACACGUGGAUCACCUCCCUAUAAGACUGGGAUAACUUCGGGAAACCGGAGCUAAUACCGGAUAAUAUAUUGAACCGCAUGGUUCAAUAGUGAAAGACGGUUUUGCUGUCACUUCUAGAUGGAUCCGCGCUGCAUUAGCUAGUUGGUAAGGUAACGGCUUACCAAGGCAACGAUGCGUAGCCGACCUGAGAGGGUGAUCGGCCACACUGGAACUGAGACACGGUCCAGACUCCUACGGGAGGCAGCAGUAGGGAAUCUUCCGCAGUGGGCGAAAACCUGACGGAGCAACGCGGCGUGAAUGAUGAAGGUCUUCGGAGCGUAAAACUCGGUUAUGAGGGAAGAACAAAUGUGUAAGUAACUGAGCACGUCGUGACGGUACCUAAUCAGAAAGCAACGGCUAACUACGUG
rnacentral:rRNA from 1 species